rnacentral:rRNA from 1 species
GACGAACGCUGGCGGCGUGCUUAACACAUGCAAGUCGAACGAAGUGGCGAACGGGUGAGUAACGCGUAAUCAACCUGCCCUUCAGAGGGGGACAACAGUUGGAAACGACUGCUAAUACCGCAUACUGAAGGAGGGGAUUGCGUCUGAUUAGCUAGUUGGAGGGGUAACGGCCCACCAAGGCGAUGAUCAGUAGCCGGUCUGGGGGAAGUAACGGGCACAUUGGGAAUGAGACACGGCCCAGACUCCUACGGGGGGCAGCAGGGGGGAAACUUCCGAAAUGGACGAAAGUCUGACGGAGCAACGCCGCGUGGGGGAUGACGGCCUUCGGGUUGUAAAGCUCUGUUAAUCGGGGCGCGGUACCGGAAUAGAAAGCCACGGCUAACUACGUGCCAGCAGCCGCGGUAAUAC